GUAAACGAUGUCGACUUGGAGGUUGUGCCCUUGAGGUGUGGCUUCCGGAGCUAACGCGUUAAGUCGACCGCCUGGGGAGUACGGCCGCAAGGUUAAAACUCAAAUGAAUUGACGGGGGCCCGCACAAGCGGUGGAGCAUGUGGUUUAAUUCGAUGCAACGCGAAGAACCUUACCUGGUCUUGACAUCCACGGAAGUUUUCAGAGAUGAGAAUGUGCCUUCGGGAACCGUGAGACAGGUGCUGCAUGGCUGUCGUCAGCUCGUGUUGUGAAAUGUUGGGUUAAGUCCCGCAACGAGCGCAACCCUUAUCCUUUGUUGCCAGCGGUCCGGCCGGGAACUCAAAGGAGACUGCCAGUGAUAAACUGGAGGAAGGUGGGGAUGACGUCAAGUCAUCAUGGCCCUUACGACCAGGGCUACACACGUGCUACAAUGGCGCAUACAAAGAGAAGCGACCUCGCGAGAGCAAGCGGACCUCAUAAAGUGCGUCGUAGUCCGGAUUGGAGUCUGCAACUCGACUCCAUGAAGUCGGAAUCGCUAGUAAUCGUGGAUCAGAAUGCCACGGUGAAUACGUUCCCGGGCCUUGUACACACCGCCCGUCACACCAUGGGAGUGGGUUGCAAAAGAAGUAGGUAGCUUAACCUUCGGGAGGGCGCUUACCACUUUGUGAUUCAUGACUGGGGUGAAGUCGUAACAAGGUAACCGUAGGGGAACCUGCGGUUGGAUCACCUCCUUA
rnacentral:rRNA from 2 species